rnacentral:rRNA from 1 species
UACGUGAAAGACUAGUGUUAUUCAUCUUUAUUAGGUUUAAAGGGUACCUAGACUGUAAAUUUUAAGCCUUAAAAAGGAACAAAUUUACUAGAGUUUUAUGUGAGAAAGUAGAAUUUGAUGGAGUAGAAGAUAAAAAUUCGCUAAAACCAAAAAGACUGAUAACGGUUGAAGACAAACUUUCUAAAUAAAAACUGACGUUGAGGGACGAAGGCUUGGGUAGCGAUUAGG